AGCUGGAAAAAAAGAAAGUUGAGAAGGCCUUCCACUGGAUUGAUAAUGUGACAGAUACAGCUGAUUUUUCAAUGAAAAGCCAACUCUACAAAGCUGCAGAUAAUUUUAUUUAAGGAUCUACAGAUAUAAGUGCCAGAUCUAGGGAAGGCAAUCCACAGUCUCCAGCAGAAAGCACUGAAGCUCCUCAAGUGACCUCUGCAAGAUGUUUCUUGUACACUCCAAUAUUACUCCAAUGGGUUUGGAGUCAAAUCUUCAAGGGCCUUGCAAAAAAAUCCUCUGCAAAAUAGAAGAACCAACAUUGAAAAGGGAAUGAAGAUUUCUACUUGCUGAUUAUGCAUCACCCAGAACAAGGCUCUCUUCUUUUGACCUUCAGGGAUGGUGAGAAAGUGCUUUCUGUUUUGGGUGAUCUAUGUAUCAGAAAUACAUCAAAGGUUUUUAUAAGGGGAAUUGGUUCAGAUUACAAAUGUAUCAUUUGGGUUAAUACGGGAAAUGAAUCCUGGAAGAUGAAAAGGUUGUGAAAGCCUUCCAAUGGAUUGAUAAUGUGACAGAUACAACUAAUUUUUCAACGCAAAGCCAAUUUUACAUUACCCAAAACUAGGCCCUCUCUUGUGUUUCAAUUAUUAAGAAAGUGCUUUUUGUUUUGGGCAUUUUAUGUUUUGGGCACUCCAUUCAGAAAUCCACACUUUCCAAGAAAAAGCACAAUUGUCUGUGGAAGAGCCGUUAGCUGACCAAUUUGAUAUCACCCAAAACUAAGCUCUCUCUUGUGUUCUCUUGAUGGUCAGAAAGUGCUUCCUGUUUUGGGCGUUCUGGCCAUCAGAUAUACGACAUGGAAUUGGAUGUUGAGAGGCAGUUUUCGAAAAAAAGGCAUCGAGACUUAUCUCCUGUGUCAGAAAUGUAUUAGUGUUUAUGUGGGGAAUUACCUCUGGAAGCUGGAAAAAAGAAGUUGAGAAGGCCUUCUACUGGAUUACUAAUUAGAUACAGCUGAUUUUUCAAUGCAAAGUCAACUCUACAAUCCUGGAGAUAAGGUAUUUUUACGUUCUACUAUUUAAAGUCUAUGAGUUUCCGGUGGUUGCUAGUUUCUACCCUGGAUAUCACUAUAGUUAUUUAGGAUGUCUGUCCCUUGCCCCGCCCGGACAGGUGACUGCAAAAACCAGUUGACUCCAAAAUAGGUUUUAGGAGGUCCUCCAUAGGCUAAAACAGCAAUUCGGCAGGUUUUAGAUGGCAAAUGGUCAAAGUCAAAUUUUUAAAGAGACAGUACAUGAUAAAUUUUCAUAUUUGAAUUUUUUAAUUUGAAUCGAAUUGGGAAUAUUCCCUAGUCAGAGAAAAUAGCUCAAAAUUUGAAUUUUUUUAAUUCAAAAAUUCACCUCGACCUUUAAUAAAUCUGCCCCUUAGUGUCAGAACCAUGAAAUUCAAAGAUGUAAUCCUUGAUAGAAUUUAUGACCCUGUUGGAGCCCUCUAAGUUCUGCCUCUGUGGUAGUAGUUCUUCGAGGGCCAUCAUACUGCUCUGCCAUGGCCCAAUGAAAGCAUUGCAUGUUGUUAAGAAGAGGGCUUUGUUGUACUAGGAGAUGGUGUGCCUAGGUUUGAGGUUCACUGAACAACAAUGAAAUCAUAAGUCCCACUCUUACUUGCUCAGACGCAUAAGUACAUGGAUUGAGGGAGAAGAGAGGAUAACAGCUAUUAGCAAAAAUUCAGAAUAGCUUCCUGUCUCCUGAGAAGCAUUCAGGCAUUAGAAACUUCAGUUCAGGGACAAACCACAAGCAAGAGACUGAGGCAGAUGAGUCUGCCUCAGUUUGGGGAUACAGAUAAAGUUCUAGAUGGGGACAAACUCAGAAUACGAGUCUGUAUCUGCUGGUGUCCCCCCUGGAGGUCUUGUACCACCUGAGUCAGAGAGGCUAACUGCUGAGUAAGCUGUUUGAAAGCAGAUACUUCAACAGCAGAUUCCAUGUGGCAAAGUGAUACUGUUAUGGUACAAGUACCUUUUUCUUAGA